AUUGAACGCUGGCGGAAUGCUUUACACAUGCAGGUCGAGCGGCAGCACGGGGGCAACCCUGGUGGCGAGCGGCGAACGGGUGAGUGAUACAUCGGAACAUGCCCAGUCGUGGGGGAUAACACUUCGAAAGAAGUGCUAAUACCGCAUACGUCCUGAGGGAGAAAGCGGGGGAUCUUCGGACCUCGCGCGAUUGGAGUGGCCGAUGGAAGAUUAGCUAGUUAGUGGGGUAAAGGCAUACCAAGGCAACGAUCUGUAGCUUGUCUGAGAGGAUGAUCAGCCACACUGGGACUGAGACACGGCCCAGACUCCGACGGGAGGCAGCAGUGGGGGAUUUGGGACAAUGGGAGCAACCCUGAUCCAGCCAUUCCGCGUGAGAGAAGAAGGCCUUCGUGUUGUAAAGCUCUUUCUGCAGGAACGAAACGGCGAGCUCUAACAUAGCUUGCUAAUGACGUUACCUGAAGAAGAAGCACCGGCUAACUACGUGCCAGCCGCCGCAGUAACAC
rnacentral:rRNA from 1 species